rnacentral:sRNA from 1 species
CGUUAUUUUACUUACUCCGUGA